CGUGUAGGCGGGGAUAUAAGUCAGAUGUGAAAUUCCAUGGCUCAACUGUGGCGCUGCAUCUGAAACUAUGUCUCUUGAGUGAUGGAGAGGAAAGCGGAAUUCCCAGUGUAGCGGUGAAAUGCGUAGAUAUUGGGAGGAACACCAGUGGCGAAGGCGGCUUUCUGGACAUUAACUGACGCUGAGGCGCGAAAGCGUGGGGAGCAAACAGGAUUAGAUACCCUGGUAGUCCACGCUGUAAACGAUGGAUACUAGGUGUAGGAGGUAUCGACCCCUUCUGUGCCGGAGUUAACACAAUAAGUAUCCCACCUGGGGAGUACGGCCGCAAGGUUGAA
rnacentral:rRNA from 1 species